AGAGUUUGAUCCUGGCUCAGGAUGAACGCUGGCGGUAUGCUUAACACAUGCAAGUCGAACGGUGUCUUCGGACACAGUGGCGGACGGGUGAGUAACGCGUGAGAAUCUGGCUCUAGGUCUGGGACAACCACUGGAAACGGUGGCUAAUACCGGAUGUGCCGAGAGGUGAAAGGUUAACUGCCUAGAGAUGAGCUCGCGUCUGAUUAGCUAGUUGGAAGUGUAAUGGACUCCCAAGGCGACGAUCAGUAGCUGGUCUGAGAGGACGAUCAGCCACACUGGGACUGAGACACGGCCCAGACUCCUACGGGAGGCUGCAGUGGGGAAUUCUCCGCAAUGGGCGAAAGCCUGACGGAGCAAUACCGCGUGAGGGAGGAAGGCUCUUGGGUCGUAAACCUCUUUUCUCAGGGAAGAACACAAUGACGGUACCUGAGGAAUAAGCAUCGGCUAACUCCGUGCCAGCAGCCGCGGUAAUACGGAGGAUGCAAGCGUUAUCCGGAAUGAUUUGGCGUAAAGCGUCCGCAGGUGGCAAUGUAAGUCUGCUGUUAAAGAGUCUAGCUCAACUAGAUAAAAGCAGUGGAAACUACAUAGCUAGAGUACGUUCGGGGCAGAGGGAAUUCCUGGUGUAGCGGUGAAAUGCGUAGAGAUCAGGAAGAACACCGGUGGCGAAGGCGCUCUGCUAGGCCGUAACUGACACUGAGGGACGAAAGCUAGGGGAGCGAAUGGGAUUAGAUACCCCAGUAGUCCUAGCCGUAAACGAUGGAUACUGGGCGUGGCUUGUAUCGACUCGAGCCGUGCCGUAGCUAACGCGUUAAGUAUCCCGCCUGGGGAGUACGCCGGCAACGGUGAAACUCAAAGGAAUUGACGGGGGCCCGCACAAGCGGUGGAGUAUGUGGUUUAAUUCGAUGCAACGCGAAGAACCUUACCAAGGCUUGACAUGUCGCGAAUCUUCUUGAAAGGGAAGAGUGCCUUCGGGAGCGCGAACACAGGUGGUGCAUGGCUGUCGUCAGCUCGUGUCGUGAGAUGUUGGGUUAAGUCCCGCAACGAGCGCAACCCUCGUUUUUAGUUGCCAGCAUUAAGUUGGGCACUCUAGAGAGACUGCCGGUGACAAACCGGAGGAAGGUGGGGAUGACGUCAAGUCAGCAUGCCCCUUACGCCUUGGGCUACACACGUACUACAAUGCUCCGGACAGAGGGCAGCAAGCAUGCGAAUGCAAGCAAAUCCCGUAAACCGGAGCUCAGUUCAGAUCGCAGGCUGCAACUCGCCUGCGUGAAGGAGGAAUCGCUAAUUGCAGGUCAGCAUACUGCAGUGAAUUCGUUCCCGGGCCUUGUACACACCGCCCGUCACACCAUGGAAGCUGGUAGUGCCCGAAGUCAUUACUCCAACCUUUCGGGGAGGAGGAUGCCUAAGGCAGGACUGGUGACUGGGGUGAAGUCGUAACAAGGUA
rnacentral:rRNA from 1 species